GAUCCUGGCUCAGGACGAACGCUGGCGGCGUGCCUAACACAUGCAAGUCGAACGGAGUUACACUUAGUGCUUGCACCGAGUGCAACUUAGUGGCGGACGGGUGAGUAACGCGUGAGCAACCUGCCUUUCAGAGGGGGAUAACAACGGGAAACCGUUGCUAAUACCGCAUAAAACCGGAUGAUGGCAUCAUCGACCGGUCAAAGGAGCAAUCCGCUGAAAGAUGGGCUCGCGUCCCAUUAGGUAG
rnacentral:rRNA from 1 species